rnacentral:rRNA from 1 species
UACCGGAUGACGACGUAAGUACCAAAGAUUUAUCGCCCAGGGAUGACGCCGCGUAAGAUUAGCUAGUGGUGGGUAAAGGCCUACCAAGGCGACGAUCUUUAGCUGGUCUGAGAGGAUGAUCAGCCACACUGGGACUGAGACACGGCCCAGACUCCUACGGGAGGCAGCAGUGGGGAAUAUUGGACAAUGGGCGAAAGCCUGAUCCAGCAAUGCCGCGUGAGUGAUGAAGGCCUUAGGGUUGUAAAGCUCUUUACCAGGGAUGAUAAUGACAGUACCUGGAGAAUAAGCUCCGGCUAACUCCGUG